rnacentral:rRNA from 1 species
CCUGCGGGUGGCUGCAGUCGAGAAUCAUUCACAAUGGGGGAAACCCUGAUGGGGCGACGCCGCGUGGGGGAAUGAAGGUCUUCGGAUUGUAAACCCCUGUCAUGUGGGAGCAAAUUAAAAAGAUAGUACCACAAGAGGAAGAGACGGCUAACUCUGUGCCAGCAGCCGCGGUAAUACAGAGGUCGCAAGCGGUGUUCGGAAUCACUGGGCGUAAAGAGUGCGGAGGCUGUUUCGUAAGUCGUGUGUGAAAGGCGCGGGCUCAACCCGCGGACGGCACAUGAUACUGCGAGACUAGAGUACUGGCGGGGGAACCGGAAUUCUCGUUGUAGCCG